AGAACGAACGCUGGCGGCAGGCUUAACACAUGCAAGUCGAGCGCCCCGCAAGGGGAGCGGCAGACGGGUGAGUAACGCGUGGGAACAUACCCUCCGGUUCGGAAUAGCUCAGGGGAAACUUGGAUUAAUACCGGAUACGGCCUAGCGGCGAAAGAUUGAUCGCCGGAGGAUUGGCCCGCGUCUGAUUAGCUAGUUGGUGGGGUAAUGGCCCACCAAGGCGACGAUCAGUAGCUGGUCUGAGAGGAUGAUCAGCCACAUUGGGACUGAGACACGGCCCAAACUCCUACGGGAGGCAGCAGUGGGAAUAUGGACAAUGGGCGCAAGCCUGAUCCAGCCAUGCCGCGUGAGUGAUGACGGCCUUAGGGUUGUAAAGCUCUUUCGCUAGGGACGAUAAUGACGGUACCUAGACAAGAAGCCCGGCUAACUUCGUGCCAGCAGCCGC
rnacentral:rRNA from 1 species